AAAACAUGUUAAAUAAAUGGAUACAUGUUAAACCUACUGUAUUAGAAAUACGAGUUUAUUUAAUAUUUAAUUUGUAUCUAUUGUAUUUGCCUUAUGGUUUGUA